rnacentral:rRNA from 1 species
UACGUAGGGUGCAAGCGUUGUCCGGAAUUACUGGGCGUAAAGAGCUCGUAGGUGGUUUGUCACGUCGUCUGUGAAAUUCCACAGCUUAACUGUGGGCGUGCAGGCGAUACGGGCUGACUUGAGUACUGUAGGGGUAACUGGAAUUCCUGGUGUAGCGGUGAAAUGCGCAGAUAUCAGGAGGAACACCGAUGGCGAAGGCAGGUUACUGGGCAGUCACUGACGCUGAGGUAGCGAAGCAUGGGUA